rnacentral:rRNA from 1 species
UAGUGGCGACCGGGUGAGUAACACGUGACUAACCUACCUUCAAGUGGGGGAUAACCUCGGGAAACCGGGGCUAAUACCGCAUAACAUCCUUGUAAUGAGAAAGCAGGGAUCAAAGGAGCAAUUCGCUGGAAGAGGGGGUCGCGGCUGAUUAGCUAGUUGGUGGGGUAAUGGCCCACCAAGGCUUUGAUCGGUAGCCGGCCUGAGAGGGCGCACGGCCACACUGGAACUGAAACACGGUCCAG